CUUGCUUCAUCUUUUCGAUUGUUAGUAUUUGCUUUUUGACGCCGAUAAAACACCACAAUUUCUGGCUCCGAUUGCUGAUUUUCCUUUUCCGCUUCAGCCGCUACAAUUUCUGACCAGAGGUCAACUGCAAUUUCGACUCAAAUUCGUCAUUUAAUUAUUACAUCAUAAAAUAGAACAUAUAAAUUCAUGCAUAUGCAUAUGCGUGUGUGAUGGAGAAACUUCGGUUUUUCAUUAAUUUUCUCUCUCUACCUGUUCGGGAACCCAUGACAAGUAAUCGGAAAGUUGAAGGUCUAACGUUACUGCGCUGUCUUUCAGGCGUCAGAAUUUUCAAAAAUCUGACAGUAGGCGGGAACUUCCUCUACUCCAAUUCUGGAG
rnacentral:lncRNA from 1 species